UCUAGAGGAAAAGCUGGGCCGGAAAAGUGGGAACCUCUAGGGCGCCGCCCUGUUGCUACUGGUCAAUGUGGCCAGCGCAAUUACUAUUGAAAGAGCUGAAAACAAGUACAGGUCACCGUAUGCUUUGUCACCUAAAAACGCAUACCUGAGGUUUUAUGAAGGUGGUGGGUUAAUAUUAAGUUUACAGAAAGCGAUCACUAAGUCCGUGACUUAUGUAAAUUACGAACUACGCAUUCAUUUAAUAAAGGAUGACGCGAAUUUCGGUUUCGAAUCUGUUUUUUGGAUGCGUAGUAGUUUCGUACAGUUUAGGUUUGACAUGCGAUCGCGCGUCGACAUCGGACGCUAUGGCACACUCGUGCCUUCUGUGCCACCGAAGCCCCGAAGUACCCAGGCAUAUACCUUCACAUGUUUCCCUUCAGUAGGAAAUUGCUGGACAGGCGGACCAGCGCACCGGAAUUGUACUGGCGAAGCCACAAGCAACUCAAAGAAUCUGUUUAAUUGUUGCACUUUGAACAAUCACGCUUCUACAAAGGCCACAGCAGAAAAACAGCCUGAUGCCGAGUAUUUCUGUGCCACGAAGUAAUCAAGAGGCGAGUGCCUAAUGCGGACGAAAUCGAGUGCAUCGAGACUUAGAACGACAGAAAGCUGAGCUAGUUGGUAAGGAUUCAUUAUGCAAAACAGAGGUGAGGCGUGCAGACAGGACACAAGAGUAGAGAAGUGGGCGGCGCUCGUGUUGCAUGUUUGCUUGUAAAUACUCUAUUCUUGUGUCCUGUCUGCACGCCUCACCUCCGUUUUGCAUAACGAGAGUAUCAACCCACAUAUUAAUAGCGUAGGCGUUUUAUUAACUGUGCAAUAUUUUCAACACUUCCUUGCAUGCCAUUUCAUGUGGAAUAUCUUUUUUGGUCACAAAUUUGUGCAGCGAAUAUAUUUGCAUGAUCGACUUCGGGCCUGUAGGUCCGUUCACUUGCACUUGAUGCUGAGUCUUUUACAUGUAUCCAUAAACUGCAGAUAUGCAAAUCAGAUCCCUGCGAGCAUUUUCAAAAUUCAGUUAUUUUAGACAACAGGCACAUAUGCAAUACUGACAUAAUCUCAAAUACGUACCACUAAGCAGCUGGGACACAUUUUUGUUGACCAUACUCGCAGGUAAAAUAAGUAGAUUAUGUGGACAGCUCCAGCUCAUUUUCCUUAAGUCAGUGUGUACAAGGGGUAUGCAAAAAUAAUUUUUUUCUCGCGCACCGAUUCUUUUGCUGUAUAAGCAAGAGAACCCACCACGUUAGUGUAACGUAUCUUGUACAUCACACUAAUAAGUGCUUUAAUUUACCAAGUGAGAUGAGUUACUUUUAUGGAUCAUUCAGUCAUAUCACACUGCAAGCUGCAUUCAUCAAUCUUCAAUUGGAUUUCGCAUGAAACAUGUUUCCCUUUUAUGCAGAUAUGCAAUGGCAAGCCCUUCCGCGUGUUCCAAAGGUAAAAUUUAAGCUCGAAAUUAAAGAAGACGUUUCUAGUCAGAAAUAAGCAAAAAUGGUGAAUGCAGAGUAUCAAAAGCCCAAGGUACAGAAAUUAUGAGAAGUGUCGAAUGAUUUUAAGGAAAGAGGCGUAUUUGAAAAUACAAGACUCUUUAGGGGAGGUCAAGCAAGUCAAUAUAGGUAGAAUACUCUGCAAAAUUAUGCGAGUGAGGGGAUGUCAAACAAUGGGUCAGGAAAUCCGUUGUUUUUCUGCAAAACAAAAGCUGAUUUCCAUUACAUAAGUCACUUUAGCAUCAUGAGACUGCUGCUUGAUAAAUUCAGAAAUAAACCAAAAAGCAAGACACGCAAAAAAAAAAUUAAUGAUGCUCUCUCCACACUGGGAUAAACAAAAACAUCACAUCUAAUGUGGACAUAUCAGACGCCUUGUGAAACACUAAAGGAAAAAAUUCAGUUUCGAGCUAUGGCACUUGCCGCAUAGAUGUGGGGGGGCCUUGCACUAAUAUUGAUAGUUGCCACUGCAUUUAGAAAUUAAAAGCAUUCAUGCAGACAAGGAUGAUUCUUUAUAUUUUUGGCUACCACUUCAAAUGCCUCCACCAGGUGUUACAAUGCUGCACGUAGCCAUACUAAGGAUCUCGCAGCAACACCUGGAGGUACAAAAUCAGAAGCAGUCAAAGUGCUGGUGUGUACUGGACACUAUGUUUGAAAACUUUAGGCAAGAAGAGUGCAAGAAGCAGGCAUAACAACUGCAUUUAAUUACGUAAUUCCACAUUUGAUGGCCUUUUCUUUUUGCUUAGACAAUGCCUACGCCUAGCCACAGCAGCUCCCUCAUACAGACUCCGCAAGCCAAGAGGCCGUGGAGGCAAUGCAGGUAAGAGGCAAGAAGCAAUAGCACUGGUAUCGACAUUAAUCUAAUUUCUUUCUUUUUCUUUUGUUUAGGUAGCCAGCACACCCCGAACAGCCACCUUGACUGCGGGUGUGUCACCCUAGUCGCCAAGGAAACAUUUGAGGGAAAGCGACAGGCAAUGUGGACAGCCACUUCUCCAUGUAAACAAUACUCUUUCUCUCGGACGACUCCUAUGCCUCGCUAGGCCAGCACAUUUGUGCACAAAAAUGCUGCGGAGGCACGUGCAGGUCCGAGGCAAGAAGCAGUGGCACUGGUGUCGACAUUCACCCACUUUCUUUUUCUUACACUGAGGCAGCCAGCACACCUCGAACAACCACCUUGACUGCGGGUGUGUCAGUAGAUUCCUGUUGUACAUAUGCUCAUAAUAAACUUCAGUAAACUUGAACUUGAUAAUAAACUUGAAGGCAAAUGGGA